rnacentral:rRNA from 1 species
ACUCAAAGGAAUUGACGGGGGCCCGCACAAGCGGUGGAGCAUGUGGUUUAAUUCGAUGCAACGCGAAGAACCUUACCUGGGUUUGACAUCCGGAGACAGCCGUAGAGAUACGGUCUCCCCUUCGGGGGCUCCGAGACAGGUGCUGCAUGGCUGUCGUCAGCUCGUAUCGUGAGAUGUCGGGUUAAGUCCCUUAACGAGCGCAACCCUUAUCCUUAGUUGCCACCAUUAAGUUGGGCACUCUAUGGAGACUGCCGGCGUUAAGCCGGAGGAAGGCGGGGAUGACGUCAAGUCCUCAUGGCCUUUAUAUCCAGGGCUACACACGUGCUACAAUGGCCAGUACAGAGGGUCGCCAACCCGUGAGGGGGAGCUAAUCCCAUAAAGCUGGUCUCAGUUCGGAUUGAAGUCUGCAAUUCGACUUCAUGAAGCUGGAAUCGCUAGUAAUCGCGGAUCAGAACGCCGCGGUGAAUACGUUCCCGGGCCUUGUACACACCGCCCGU